GAUCUGCUCCAUUGGAGUUCAUCUUGCAAGCCCAGGAUAAGAUGCAGAGAUUAACAGAAAUCCUAAAUGAUAAGAAUUCAUACAAAAUAUGCAAGGUCAAGGUGAAGUUUACAAUAAGCAGAUGACAUAUAUGCAGAAACAGAAAAGGCUGCUUUCAGAAACGUGUUAAGUUUUGAAGAUAAAAGUUAAGGAAGAUACUGUCUUCUUUUUUUGCUAAUGUAUUUUGCCAAGAUGUAUAUUUGAAUGUUUGAAGUAUUUAAAAAUAUCCAUUUGCUGGAAAUUUGUAUAGAAAUAAGCAUACAGAUUCUUUCUUGGUGCUCGUUGUUUGUAUAUAUUUUGUAUUAUUAAAGGAGAUGAAUUACUCAAGGUCAGCAGCAGAACUGGAAAAGCAGCUGAUGACAUAAAGCUUAACUUUGGCACUUGAGUCUCCUCUUAGAAAUCUGUACCCAAGUACUGAAUGAAAACAUAAUGUUCACAAGUUUAACCUUACAUACUAGAUGAUUCAUUAAAAGUGAAAAAAACUAAUUAGUCACUGCCUGUAUUAUUGUAAUCAGAACAUGACUUUUGAUCUU